rnacentral:lncRNA from 1 species
UUCGUUCUCAUCCACGCACGGGAGGAAAAUCUUCUCUGCGCUUCUAUCCACCACCGCUCAAUCGUUUGAUUUUUUUUCGCGCAAGCUUCUUACCUCCUGCGCGCAGAUUGCUUCUUCCUGCUGCACGGCAUGCCGGAGAAAGAUAUGUCUCUCAGAUUUUUUCUUCUCUACCGAUUGCUUUGCUCCUGGCGUGAUUUUUUUUUCUCUGCGAUUGAUCUCAUCCCUGCACGGCUCUAGUGGAAAAAUCCCGCCGCCCCUGGGCGCUUCAAAAAUCCAGCCGACGCUCGCCCCUAUCUUCUUCCUCAGCCCAGCCGUCUUCCUGGGCAACCGCGUCUCCUUCUUCCUCCCCCUGCGUCCCUGUUCGGUUCCUGCGCACGCUGGCUCCCUGCGUCGCGAGCUUCAGCUCGGAUUCCCCCUCCCAUGGCUGCCGAGCAGCUCGCCGGAAUUCCACGCUCGGUGCCUGGAUCUCCCUCCUCCCUGCAGCUCGCUCUCUCUCCCCAGCUCGCUCGCUCCUGGCCUUCCCCUGCCGGCGCGCCUGUUCCCUGGCCGAAGCCACCUGGUCCCAGGUCCGGUCGGCCGGCUCAGUUUUUCCCAGUGCCGCGCGUCGUGCUUCCCCUUCCAGCCGACCGAAGCUCCAGCUCCAGCCAUGGCGCGUCCGGCUCCCUAGGCGCUUGACCAUCUGCUCGCCUGCUUUCCUGCCAGUGCUGCCCAGUGCCUCUCUGCUAGCCGCGCGCCCCUGUCUUAUUUCCCUGCGCACCGUCGUGUCCUCAGCUAGCCGGCUGCGACCCCUGCUCGGAUUUUCCCCUAUGGCCGGAACCUUUUUCCUGGCCGCAGCUCAGAUCUCCAGGGCCGCGAGCUCCCCUAAGCUCGCCAUGGCGAUUUCCACGGCUGGCAGCUGACCUUCCUGUGUCGCGUCCUGACUUUGCCCAAUGCCCGGUCGAGCUCUCUGACCGCCGCGCCGUGAAUUUUCCUGCCCGCGCGUGUCUCCUUGCUCACGCAUCGCCGUCGAGUUCUCUGGUGUUUGCGUGCCAUGAAGUUCCUCUAGCGCCGUGGCUUCCCAAUUCCAUCUAGUCACGCGCGCGAAUUUUCUUCGCUCAGCUUUAAUUCCCAAUUAUGUCGUCGACCUCGCCGUCAACCAUGUUCAAGUAAUUGCUGGCCCCUCAGACCCGGCCAUUGUUUACCGCGGAACCACUGUCAGAUUAAUUUUUAGCUUCCCUCGCGCGGCUCUUUGGAGAUAAGCUCCUCACCGGCUGUCGCUCCCAAUCUUUAGCUCAUCGACUCACUGUCAUGUUUCUUGUUCUCCCUCGUCGAUCGGCCUCGCCGUGGCUAAGUAUGUCCGCCGUGCUAUGUGCUUCGGUCUUUGGUCGCUGCCUCUUGCUCACCAUCCCCUAUUCGAUCUCGUCGUCAAGCUUCGCCUCAGCCUUAGCUCGUCGGUCACGCUCGUCAGAUGUGCGAUCGAGGACUUCAGCUGAAGGCCGUCGUCAGACAACUACCAAAUCGAGUUGUGAUGUGGUGAGCCGAUUCACUAUUUUUAUUAUCGGUUUUAUGAUCGUAAAAUAAGACAUUUCGUAUACAUAUACGAUUAAGUUAGAAAUACUAGUAAUGCGAGGUGUGCACUUGGUAAUUAUGGCUAGAUUCGUUUUUAUGUCGUUAGGGUGUGUGAUAUUAGGGAGUCGAUGAUAGAAGUGAAAUUCUAGCUAUUGGGUGAUGACGGGAAGGACGUUGUUCAUCGCGUGCUUAAUGUUUGAUGGAUAGUAUGAACUGAAAUCAUCGCCGUUCUCACGAAUUUUAUAUCGACUAGUAAUAGUACACUGGUUCGCUAGUUUUUAUUAUUAGUUCAAGGCUUGGAUUAAUUAGUUAUAUUAGUUGCGUCAGUUCUCUGGACGGUAGUAACCGUGCGUUGUGGUUGUAUUAAUUGUUUAUUAAAAUGCUUCAUCGUAUAUAGUGUAUUGGUUUAUAUAAAUAUAUACAUAUGAGAUGUGUAGGUGAUGAGUAGGAUAGGUUUAGUGUUCUAAUUAAUUAGCUGAUAAGUUGUGUUUAGGCUAAUUAUAUUAAAUAUGUAUUGUUUGUUAUUUCAUGAUGUUUGCGUUAGAUUCGGUUAAUCUAGAAAAGCGUACUUAUUACGCUCAGUCGUACAUCGAUAACUAGUGUUUUAGUAUAAAAUUGUACAACGCCUCGCCACUAGGUGUUUAAUGCGCUGUCGUAUAGCACUAUUUAGAUUUGUGCUAUUUCUGUUAAUAUGCAUUCAUGCGCAUCGUGCAUUUCAAUUAGGUACGAUCGUUGAUCGCGUAAUGUGGAAGACGACCCCAAGUCGACCCAGGAUAAUGCAGAGAUUGGACAUCUCCGCAAGACGACGUCGUCAGUCGGACGAACCUGAAUAUGGAUAAUCUGAUGAAUGCCAAGACAAAGGAUGAUCAUCAAGUGGACAUCGUCUAACAAACACUAACUUAGUGUUACCCAGGCAAGCCCCGGUGCAUUUGCCCCUUCCUUGUGUUUUAAAUGCUUUUUCACCUUAUCUGAUGCAUUAGGUGAUAGGAGUUGUGUGAUAAACAAUUGAUGCAUUACCAUUCCUUGGAAACUCCUUAAUCCCAGUUUUAUAAAAAGAACUGAUAAUGCUUAGCCCUGCUUAGAAACUGAAAAAUCAUUUGUUUUCAAAAAGAAUGAUUAUGGAACAUUGGUUAUGGGCCUUUCGUUUCAAAAAUCAAAGCAAACUUAUGGUGAUGACUCCACUUCGGCCGGAGUGGGUUCAUCAUUCGGAAAAGAGUACCCCUGUCGGGUACCAAAAAUGGGAAAAUGGUUUGAAUACAUCUAGACAAGACGCUGAGCGGACGUGGUCGCCCAUCUGUGUCGAUUAAGGACCGUUCGAUGUAGGCCUGUUGUGGUGGAGACCCUGCAACUAGCCACAUGCUCCGGUAAGCCUGAACCCGGCUAUUCCAUACGUGAAAAGACAACCGCGCACUGGGCGUGGGAGAUGGUGGGAGUAGCGUGUACCCUCCUGGCUAGAGGCUGGAUGGAGGAGUACUGUGCUCCCGGGUAGCGCGGGCCGGUUCACGUUGUGGAGGAUCUGUGGGAACGGUUGACAUAUGCAAGGAUUAAGUGCUACAUAUGUCGUGUGGUUAGGGAUCCCCAGCUGGGUAUAAUCGGUUCGAAUCGUCGUUGCUCCUCGGUCAUGGAGACUCUACCCUCCGACCACUCAUCGUAGUUGACAAGUGAAAUAUGAAUUGGCUAAAAGAAAGCUAGACCAGGACAAGUGGAUGCUCUAGAUUAGGAAAAUCUAGGUUCAGGAAAAAUACUAAACUUGUGAAGUAAAAUUUUGGCAUAAGGAUUUACUACUAGUAAGCUCUUCUGCAAAACAGAGUCUUUGAUUCUUGAUAAGCCAUACCUUGAAUCCCUCUAGCCAGCAUACCCUUGAGAGUCUUUUCUUUAGUCGGGUAAGUCUUGCUGAGUAAUUCCAUACUCAGGGUUUUAUUCCCUGUUGUUUUUCAGGUUAUAGUUUUGUGCUGCUGUUGAUGGUGUUAAGUGCCGGUGGGCUCGGCCUUCUUAUAAGUCUAAGUAAUUCUUCUAUACUUCUUAUUGAGGAUGGUCACUUGAGCUAGCAUAUAUUUCAAACUUACAAAUAAUUUAUAACAUCUCAAAGUUAUUCCUUUAAACCACUUUUGUAAUCAC